rnacentral:lncRNA from 1 species
CAUUUACAGAUGUUUUAAUAAAGCUAACACGAGCAAUUUCCAGCUCUUCCAUUUUUGUAAACACUUGUGUGACUUUGUACAGACAAUUAACUGCUCAGGAUCACCCUCCUUUUUGUUUUGUUUUUGAGAUGGUCUCAUUCCGUCACCCAUGCUGGAGUGUAGUGAAAUGAUCACAGCUCACUGCAGCCUUGACCUCCCGGACUCAAGCUUCCUAGUAACUGGGACUACAGGUGCAUACAACCAUGCCUGGCUAAUUUUAUUUUUGUAGAGACGGUUUCACCAUAUUGCCCAGACUGGUCUUGAACUCCUGAUUAUCCUCUGGCUUUUACCUCCCAAAGUGCUGGCCAGGACAG